rnacentral:rRNA from 1 species
CCAGCACCCGCGGUAAUUCCAGCUCCAAUAGCGUAUAUUAAAGUUGUUGCAGUUAAAAAGCUCGUAGUUGGAUUUCUGGCAGGAGCGUCCGGUCUCACUCUCAGUGCGGGAACUUGGAUGUCUCUGGCCAUCUUUGGGGAUAUCCUGUUUGGCAUUAAGUUGUCGGGCAGGGGAUACCCAUCGUUUACUGUGAAAAAAUUAGAGUGCUUAAAGCAGGCUUAUGCCGUUGAAUAUAUUAGCAUGGAAUGGGACUUUGGUACUAUUUUGUUGGUUUGUGCACCAGAGUAAUGAUUAAUAGGGACAGUUGGGGCUAUUCGUAUUCCAUUGUCAGAGGUGAAAUUCUUGGAUUUCUGGAAGACGAACUACUGCGAAAGCAUUUAGCAAGGAUGUUUUCAUUAAUCAAGAACGAAAGU